GGAGUGUGUAACAACUCACCUGCCGAAUGAAUUAGCCCUGAAAAUGGAUGGCGCUCAAGUGUAUUACCCAUACCUCACCGUCAGCGUUAAAGUGACGCGCUGACGAGUAGGCAGGCGUGGAGGUCAGUGAAGAAGCCUUGGCAGUGAUGCUGGGUGAAACGGCCUCUAGUGCAGAUCUUGGUGGUAGUAGCAAAUAUUCAAGUGAGAACCUUGAAGACUGAAGUGGGGAAGGGUUCCAUGGUAACAGCAGUUGGACAUGGGUGAGUCGGUCCUAAGAGAUAGGGGAACUCCGUUUCAAAGUGUGCGCUUGUUCGCACGGCCUAUCGAAAGGGAAUACGGUUAAAAUUCCGUAACCGCAAUGUAGAUUCUGAACGGCAACGUAAAUGAACUUGGAGACGCCGGUGUGGGCCCUGGGAAGAGUUAUCUUUUCUCCUUUACAGCUUAUAACCCUGGAAUCGGAUUAUCCGGAGAUAGGGUCUAAUGGUUGGUAGAGCACUGCUAU
rnacentral:rRNA from 1 species